rnacentral:lncRNA from 1 species
UGGAAAGAGUGUUGGAAUUUGGGGGCCAGGUUUUAAAACUGCCACAUGGGGCGUGGGAUCCAGAGGAAGGGCUGGAUUCCAGGUAUGAGGGCAAAGUGGCUGUUUGAUCUUGCUCAAAGGUAGACUAAAGGGAAGAUAAAUUGACUGUAACACUCACCAAGUCCCCAGCAUGUACCAGGUGUUGGCCCUCAUGGGCAUUAUCUCAACUUACCUUUGCAAGAACCCUCUGACACAGAUUUUUCACCACUCUUUGUAGAUGAGUACUCUGAGGCUCAGAGAGGGUGUAAGCCUUAUCCAAGGUCACAUGCUGGUGAGUGGCCAGCUUUUCCAAUUCCAGAGUUGACCCUUUAACUCCUCUGAUGGGUUGCCUCCAGAUAAGGAGCAGGGCUGGCCCCAGAGAUGUGGCAAGGUGGGUCAGGAUAAGGUAGGAGAGCAAAGAGCCAGGCUGUCACUCCCCAUCCACUCACCUCCUCCUCCAGAAGCCCUCCCAGGCAGGAAAGGGUCCCAAGACACCCUGUCCCAAGGACCCUUUCCCUCUGACACCUCCUCAGUCUGGGAUGUGCACCGAGCUUCCCCUCCGCCCUGUCUCCCAAGCUGUAUUUCUCACCCCUGAGCAGUUCCCCAAAUCCUCCCUUGUACUUCCUUGAAACCUUCCCAGGGCAUUCUCCCAAUUCCACCUGUCUUAGCCAUAAGCUGUGAAUAAUUACCAAUGUAAGGCUUUCAAUUUUCGAUAUAAAAUUUUUACUUUAGAAAAGUUUUAAAGAAAAAUGGCAAAGAUAAUACAGAGAGUUCCCAUAUUCUCCACACCCAAUUUCCCCUAUUAUCAUCAUCUUACAUUUAGUACGGUACAUUUGCCACAAUUAAUAAACUGCUAUUGAUAUCAGCCCUACAAGAUUAACAUUAUUAUUAAACUAUGUUCAUACUUUAUUCAGAUUUCCUUAGUUGUUUUUUUUUUUAACCUAAUAUCCUUUUUCUGUUCUAGGAUGCAGCAUUACAUUUGGCCAUCAUGUCUUCUUAGGUCUCCCUUGGCUGUGACAGUUUCUCAGACUUUUCUUGUUUUUGAUGAUCUUGAUGAUUUCAAGGAGUAUUGGUCAGGUAUUUUGUAGAAUGUUCCUCAGCUGGGAUUUGUCUGAUGUUUUAGGUUAUGGGUUUGAGGGAGCAAGACCUCAAAGGUGAAGUGCCACUUUCAUUACAUCCUAUCAAGAGUAUAUGCCACCACCAUGACCUGUCACUGUCGAUGUCAACUGCGUUCACAGUUAACAGAAGUAGUGUUUGUCAGGUUUCUCCACUAUGAAGUUAUUCUUUCUUCCCCUUUCCGUGUAUACUGUUUGGAGGUAAGUUGCUAUGUGGAGCCCACAUUUAAGGAGCAGGGAGCUAUGCUCAUCCUUGAGUAUCUGUGAAUAUCAUCUGCAAUUCUGUAUUUUUGUAUCUUCUCCCCCUUUUCUCUAUGUAGCCAUUUAUUUAUAUAAGUUCAAACUCAUGGAUAUUUCUCUUUUUUUUUAGAUGGAGUCUUGCUCUGUUGCCCAGGCUGGAGUGCGGUGGCAUGAUCUCGGCUCACUGCAACCUCUGCCUCCUGGGUUCAAGUGAUUAUCCUGCCUCAGCCUCCUGAGUAGCUGGGACUACAGGCGCGCGCCACCACACCUGGCUAAUUUUUUGU